rnacentral:rRNA from 1 species
GACGAACGCUGGCGGCGUGCUUAACACAUGCAAGUCGAACGAGACGAUUGAAAGCUUGCUUUCGAAAGUCGAGUGGCAAACGGGUGAGUAACGCGUAGACAACCUGCCUUUGAGAUGGGGACAACAGUUCGAAAGGACUGCUAAUACCGAAUGUUGUAUAUUUUCCACAUGGAAGAUAUAUUAAGGAUGGCCUCUAUUUAUAAGCUAUCGCUCAAAGAGGGGUCUGCGUCGGAUUAGUUAGUUGGUGGGGUAACGGCCUACCAAGACGAUGAUGCGUAGCCGACCUGAGAGGGUGACCGGCCACACUGGGACUGAGACACGGCCCAGACUCCUACGGGAGGCAGCAGUAGGGAAUUUUCGGCAAUGGGCGCAAGCCUGACCGAGCAACGCCGCGUGAGUGAUUAAGGCCUUCGGGUUGUAAAGCUCUGUUGUAAGGGAAGAACAUUCAGGAUAGGAAAUGAUCUUGAACUGACGGUACCUUACCAGAAAGCCACGGCUAACUACGUGCCAGCAGCAGCCGCAGUAA